UUGCUUUGGCAGCACAUACACGAAAAGUGGAAUAAUGAUACAGAGAAGAUUAGCAUGGCCCCUAAGCAAAGAUGACACAGAAAUUCAUAAAGCGUUCAUUUUUGUU